rnacentral:rRNA from 1 species
GACGAACGCUGGCGGCGUGCUUAACACAUGCAAGUCGAACGGUAAGGCCCUUCGGGGUACACGAGUGGCGAACGGGUGAGUAACACGUGGGUGAUCUGCCCUGCACUUCGGGAUAAGCCUGGGAAACUGGGUCUAAUACCGGAUAGGACCACUGCCUGCAUGGGUGGUGGUGGAAAGCCUUUGCGGUGUGGGAUGGGCCCGCGGCCUAUCAGCUUGUUGGUGGGGUGAUGGCCUACCAAGGCGAGGACAGGUAGCCGGUCUGAGAGGGUGACAGGCCACACUUGGACUGAGAUACGGCCCAGACUCCUACGGGAGGCAGCAGUGGGGAAUAUUGCACAAUGGGCGCAAGCCUGAUGCAGCGACGCCGCGUGAUGGAUGACGGCCUUCGGGUUGUAAACCUCUUUCAGCACCGACGAAGCGCAAGUGACGGUAGGUGCAGAAGAAGGACCGGCCAACUACGUGCCAGCCGCCGCCGUAA